GAGGUUUUUUUGGUGGAACCGGGGAUUGAACUCAGACACUUGCACUUGCCAGGGAAGCACUUAUUCUACUGAGCCGUAUCCCCGGCCCCUAAUAAAAAAAUUAAAGAAUUAAAAUUAAACAU